AACGCAUAUUGCGCUCUCUGGUAUUCCGGAGAGUAUGCCUGUUUCAGUAUCAGUAAACACCAUCAAACAACCUCCAAGAGUGGAGGCGGUUUGGAUUUGAGUGUUUGCCGAGAAAAAACUUUGCCUUUUUUUUCGGCCCGCUCGAAAUGCAAGUACACAGGAUAGGAUUCCCCAGAACCCCCCCGAGGUGUGAAAAAAAAAGCGUAGUAGUUGACUUUAUUGUCUUCUUUCGCUGAAAAAAGAACGCCCGGUUUUUUUCUGGACCUUUGCUGUGCAAAUUCGCAGGAAGAAAAAGGAAUAUUUCCUUCUUCACUUCUUGAUCUGAAAUCAGGUAGGACUACCCGCUGAACUUAA
rnacentral:misc_RNA from 1 species